UUCGGUGGUCUUAGCGAAGAGGUCACACCCGUUCCCAUCCCGAACACGGAAGUUAAGCUCUUUAGCGCCGAUGGUACUGCAUGGGUGACUGUGUGGGAGAGUAGGUCACUGCCGAAU
rnacentral:rRNA from 1 species